AAGCAGCGUAAAGAGCCAUGAACGGACUAUGACUUUAAGACUAAAGUCAUAGUCCGUUCAUGGCUCUUUACGCUGCUU